UACGUAGGGUGCGAGCGUUAAUCGGAAUUACUGGGCGUAAAGCGUGCGCAGGCUGUUCUGUAAGUCAGAUGUGAAAUCCCCGAGCUCAACUUGGGAACUGCGUUUGAAACUACAAGACUAGAAUAUGUCAGAGGGGGGUAGAAUUCCACGUGUAGCAGUGAAAUGCGUAGAGAUGUGGAGGAAUACCAAUGGCGAAGGCAGCCCCCUGGGAUAAUAUUGACGCUCAUGCACGAAAGCGUGGGGAGCAAACAGG
rnacentral:rRNA from 1 species